UGACCUCGAUCAGUAGAAC
rnacentral:rRNA from 1 species